GAUCCUGCUCAGGAUGAACGCUGGCGGCGUGCUUAACACAUGCAAGUCGAGCGAAGCAGUUUCAAUGAAGUUUUCGGAUGGAUUUGAAAUUGACUUAGCGGCGGACGGGUGAGUAACGCGUGGGUAACCUGCCUUACACUGGGGGAUAACAGUUAGAAAUGACUGCUAAUACCGCAUAAGCGCACAGGGCCGCAUGGCCUGGUGUGAAAAACUCCGGUGGUGUAAGAUGGACCCGCGU
rnacentral:rRNA from 1 species